rnacentral:lncRNA from 1 species
AUUCUCACAAAAUCUGGACAGUGAAAGGAAGUGGAUAGUAUCCAACACAAAAGCAAUGAAAGCAAAUACUCACAGAAUCAUCCAAACAAUUCAGUUCAUGGAAAACAGUCAAUCAGUUCAAGAGAUGAAUCAAGAGCAACAGAGCCUCACAGAUGCACACAAUCAGUGUCUCUCUCAAGUGUUUAAGGUAAAUCAAUGUCACUCAAUGCACUCAAGAAAGCACACACAGAUAGACUUGGCAAGCCUCUAAUAUCAACACUCAAACACAUAUGCAUGUUCAAAUCAAAAGGUCUUUUCAUGGUUGUAAUGGGGCCAAGGACAAGGGA